rnacentral:rRNA from 1 species
CUCGAAAGAGAGCCGUAACACAGGUGCUGCAUGGCUGUCGUCAGCUCGUGUCGUGAGAUGUUGGGUUAAGUCCCGCAACGAGCGCAACCCUUGUCAUUAGUUGCUACGCAAGAGCACUCUAAUGAGACUGCCGGUGACAAACCGGAGGAAGGUGGGGAUGACGUCAAGUCCUCAUGGCCCUUAUGGGUAGGGCUUCACACGUCAUACAAUGGUCGGUACAGAGGGUUGCCAAGCCGCGAGGUGGAGCCAAUCCCAGAAAGCCGAUCGUAGUCCGGAUCGCAGUCUGCAACUCGACUGCGUGAAGUCGGAAUCGCUAGUAAUCGCAGAUCACGUCAUGCCUGCGGUGAAUACGUCCGGUCUUG